UACGUAGGAUGCUAGCGUUGUCCGGAUUUACUGGGCGUAAAGCGCGCGCAGGCGGCACUGUAAGUAAGGUGUGAAAUAUCCCUGCUCAACGGGGAGGGUGCAUUUUAGACUGCAGAGCUAGAGGACGGUAGAGGGGGGUGGAAUUGCUGGUGUAGCGGUGAAAUGCGUAGAGAUCAGCAGGAACACCCGUGGCGAAAGCGAGGUCCUGGACGCCAUCUGACGCUGAGACGCGAAAGCCAGGGGAGCGAACGGG
rnacentral:rRNA from 1 species